GAUUGCAUUCUUUGGAGGAUCCCUGGACACUUCAGGAGAAUUAGUGGUUUAUGCCUCACAGCAGCCCGUAAGGUGGUGCUUCCUUUCAAAAUGGUCAAAGGCAGUGGGACUUGGAGUGCCCGACACCCUGCUGUUUGCAUGGAUCUGACAUCGUCAUUUCUUCUCCAGAGUGAAGAAGACUCUGUAGCUGAAGAAGUAACAGAAAUUUGGAGUGUGACAGAGGAAAUAAACUGAAUGCAAAGAAGCAUGCAGAGGGGAGCUAAACUACACAACAUGAUGCAGGCACUGCUGUUUCUCAUCUGGCAGCAUUCUAUCAAAUGCAGAGCUGCAAUGUUGACUUGCAUCAGUGACGGAUCGAGCCCUCUGGGAGUCGGCAUAAUUGGAGAUCAGCAGUCUGGAAUCCUGCCCCUGAAGAAUCAGGAAAGAGGCUGUACCUGACACAGAAUCAAGCCAGAUUCAAAGUGAUGGGAAUGUUUAAGCUGUGAUAACUUUUUUUAAAAAUCCCUCUGCUACAUAAUUUAAGUAAAUAUUUGUAGGUGUCUGUAAUAGGGGUAAUUGCUGCAUUUCCUUUCAAACAAAAGCAAGGAGUGCAGUUUUCAGUAAUGUGAAAGAGAGGCAUUCUAAUGGAUGGGUUUAUCCUGAUUUUUCUGGCAGACAGUGCUUUUCAGCAGUUCUCAGGUGUCUUUUCUUGCAGCACACAAAAACUAGUUCGUGCCUGGACUUUCCCUUUACUGAUGCGAGAACUCCAGAGUAGCUGGCAAGUAGCGAGGCGUCCCCCUUCAUCAGAGAGCUGGGAUGGGCUGGCUGCAUGCGUGGAAAGCAGCAGGGGUAGGUAUGAGGGAGUGAACAGGAGGUGUCUGGCUGCAACCACGAGAAGGAGGAAUGGUACAUAUGUGCCAGCAGAAAGGUGACCAUCUGUAGAGGAAGGAAGGAGGGUGCCUAGCACUGCUGGAAGUCACAGAGAUGAACUGCAGCUCAGAGCGGCUGGAUUUGGCAUCAUGGCAGUACAAACAGACAGCUUUCAGCUUAGAUUGAAGCCCAGGUCCCAGAGAAUCCGUGAAAUAAUUUGUAGCUCAAAGGAUGUCAAAGAAUUAUGAGGGAUUCCAGGCAACAGGGUG